GACGAACGCUGGCGGCGUGCUUAACACAUGCAAGUCGAACGGAAAGGCCCUGCUUUUGUGGGGUGCUCGAGUGGCGAACGGGUGAGUAACAAGUGAGUAACCUGCCCUUGACUUUGGGAUAGCUUCAGGAAACUGGGGCUAAUACCGGAUAGGAGCUGCUGUUGCAUGGUGGGGGUUGGAAAGUUUCGGCGGUUGGGGAUGGACUCGCGGCUUAUCAGCUUGUUGGUGGGGUAGUGGCUUACCAAGUCUUUGACGGGUAGCUAGCCUGAGAGGGUGACGGGCCACUUUAGUACUGGGAUACGGCCCAGACUCCUACGGGAGGCAGCAGUGGGGAAUAUUGCACAAUAGGCGGAAGCCUGAUGCAGCAACGCCGCGUGCGGGAUGACGGCCUUCGGGUUGUAAACCGCUUUCGCCUGUGGCGAAGCGUGAGUGACGGUAAUGAGUAAAGAAGCACCGGCUAACUACGUG
rnacentral:rRNA from 1 species